UACGUAGGGGGCAAGCGUUGUCCGGAUUUAUUGGGCGUAAAGAGCGUGUAGGCGGCCAGGUAGGUCGGUUGUGAAAGACUCGAGGCUCAACCUCGAGAUGUCGACCGAAACCAUCUGGCUAGAGUCCGGAAGAGGAGAAUGGAAUUCCCGGUGUAGCGGUGAAAUGCGCAGAUAUCGGGAAGAACACCCGUGGCGAAGGCGGUUCUCUGGGACGGUGACGUGACGCUGAGACGCGAAAGCGUGGGG
rnacentral:rRNA from 1 species